AGUCAAGUAAUUAAGUGCAUGUGGUGGAUGCCUUGGCAGUCAGAGGCGAUGAAAGACGUGAUAGCCUGCGAAAAGCUCCGGGGAGGCGGCAAAUAUCCUUUGAUCCGGAGAUGUCUGAAUGGGGGAACCCACCUACUUUAAGGUAGGUAUUGCAACAUGAAUACAUAGUGUUGCAAGGCGAACGAGGGGAAGUGAAACAUCUCAGUACCCUUAGGAAAAGAAAUCAAUUGAGAUUCCCUCAGUAGCGGCGAGCGAACGGGGAUCAGCCCAUUAAGUUAUGUGUGUUUUAGUGGAACGCUCUGGGAAGUGCGAACGUAGAGGGUGAUAUUCCCGUACACGAAAGGGCACACAUAAUGAUGACGAGUAGGGCGAGGCACGUGAAACCUUGUCUGAAUAUGGGGGGACCAUCCUCCAAGGCUAAAUACUCCUGACUGACCGAUAGUGAACCAGUACCGUGAGGGAAAGGCGAAAAGAACCCCUGUGAGGGGAGUGAAAUAGAUCCUGAAACCGCAUGCAUACAAGCAGUGGGAGCACCUUCGUGGUGUGACUGCGUACCUUUUGUAUAAUGGGUCAGCGACUUAUAUUCAGUAGCGAGGUUAACCGUAUAGGGGAGCCGUAGAGAAAUCGAGUCUUAAUAGGGCGUUUAGUUGCUGGGUAUAGACCCGAAACCAGGCGAUCUAUCCAUGAGCAGGUUGAAGGUUGGGUAACACUAACUGGAGGACCGAACCCACUGUCGUUGAAAAGCCAGGGGAUGACUUGUGGAUAGGGGUGAAAGGCUAAUCAAGCCUGGUGAUAGCUGGUUCUCCCCGAAAGCUAUUUAGGUAGCGCCUCGGACGAAUACCAUAGGGGGUAGAGCACUGUUUCGGCUAGGGGGUCAUCCCGACUUACCAAACCGAUGCAAACUCCGAAUACCUAUGAGUACUAUCCGGGAGACAGACUGCGGGUGCUAACGUCCGUAGUCAAGAGGAAAACAAUCCAGACCGCCAGCUAAGGCCCCAAAAUCAUAGUUAAGUGGGAAACGAUGUGGGAAGGCAUAGACAGCUAGGAGGUUGGCUUAGAAGCAGCCACCCUUUAAAGAAAGCGUAAUAGCUCACUAGUCGAGUCGGCCUGCGCGGAAGAUGUAACGGGGCUAAAACUAUGUGCCGAAGCUGCGGAUGUAUACUUUGUAUACGUGGUAGGGGAGCGUUCUGUAAGCCGAUGAAGGUGUGUUGAGAAGCAUGCUGGAGGUAUCAGAAGUGCGAAUGCUGACGUGAGUAACGACAAAACGGGUGAAAAACCCGUUCGCCGAAAGACCAAGGGUUCCAGUCCAACGUUAAUCGGGGCUGGGUGAGUCGACCCCUAAGGCGAGGCCGAAAGGCGUAGUCGAUGGGAAAAUGGUUAAUAUUCCAUUACUUCUGUGUAAUGCGAUGAGAGGACGGAGAAGGCUAAAUCAGCCUGGCGUUGGUUGUCCAGGUGAAAGGAUGUAGGCAUGUAUCUUAGGCAAAUCCGGGGUACUCUAUGCUGAGAUCUGAUAGCAAGCUGUACUUGUACAGCGAAGUGGUUGAUGCCAUGCUUCCAGGAAAAGUCUCUAAGCUUCAGUUACACAGGAAUCGUACCCGAAACCGACACAGGUGGUCAGGUCGAGUAGACCAAGGCGCUUGAGAGAACUCUGCUGAAGGAACUAGGCAAAAUGGUACCGUAACUUCGGGAGAAGGUACGCUGUUGUUGGUGAUGGAACUCGCUUCCUGAGCUGACGACAGCCGCAGAAACCAGGCCGCUGCAACUGUUUAUUAAAAACAUAGCACUCUGCAAACACGAAAGUGGACGUAUAGGGUGUGAUGCCUGCCCGGUGCUGGAAGGUUAAUUGAUGGGGUUAGCGUAAGCGAAGCUCUUGAUCGAAGCCCCAGUAAACGGCGGCCGUAACUAUAACGGUCCUAAGGUAGCGAAAUUCCUUGUCGGGUAAGUUCCGACCUGCACGAAUGGCAUAAUGAUGGCGGCGCUGUCUCCAGCAGAGGCUCAGUGAAAUCGAAAUCGCUGUGAAGAUGCAGUGUACCCGCGGCUAGACGGAAAGACCCCGUGAACCUUUACUGCAGCUUGACACUGAACUUUGACCUUACUUGUGUAGGAUAGGUGGGAGGCUUUGAAGCUGGAACGCUAGUUCCAGUGGAGCCGUCCUUGAAAUACCACCCUGGUAAUGUUGAGGUUCUAACUCUGUCCCGUGAUCCGGGACGAGGACCGUGUCUGGUGGGUAGUUUGACUGGGGCGGUCUCCUCCUAAAGAGUAACGGAGGAGUACGAAGGUGCGCUCAGCGUGGUCGGAAAUCACGCGUAGAGUAUAAAGGCAAAAGCGCGCUUAACUGCGAGACCCACAAGUCGAGCAGGUACGAAAGUAGGUCUUAGUGAUCCGGUGGUUCUGUAUGGAAGGGCCAUCGCUCAACGGAUAAAAGGUACUCUGGGGAUAACAGGCUGAUACCGCCCAAGAGUUCAUAUCGACGGCGGUGUUUGGCACCUCGAUGUCGGCUCAUCUCAUCCUGGGGCUGAAGCAGGUCCCAAGGGUAUGGCUGUUCGCCAUUUAAAGAGGUACGCGAGCUGGGUUUAGAACGUCGUGAGACAGUUCGGUCCCUAUCUACCGUGGGCGCUGGAAAUUUGAGAGGAUCUGCUCCUAGUACGAGAGGACCAGAGUGGACGAACCUCUGGUGUACCGGUUGUGACGCCAGUCGCAUCGGGGUAGCUAUGUUCGGAAGGGAUAACCGCUGAAAGCAUCUAAGCGGGAAGCCUACCUCAAGAUAAGAUUUCCCUAGGACUUUAUGUCCUCUAAAGAGCCGUUCGAGACUAGGACGUUGAUAGGUUGGAUGUGGAAGCAUAGUGAUAUGUGAAGCUGACCAAUACUAAUUGCUCGUGAGGCUUGACUAU
rnacentral:rRNA from 1 species